CGCAGCAGUCGCGAAAAUUUCACACUGGGGGCAACCCCGAGAGGGAAUUCCUAGUGCUAGGACAUUUGUUUAGCUUUUCUCUAGCGUAGAUAACUAGAGGAAUAAGGGCUGGGUAAGACGGGUGCCAGCCGCCGCGGUAAUACCUGCAGCCCAAGUGGUGGUCGAUUUUAUUGAGUCUAAAGCGUUCGUAGCCGGUUUGAUAAAUCCUUGGGUAAAUCGGGAAGCUUAACUUUCCGACUUCCGAGGAGACUGUCAAACUUGGGACCGGGAGAGGCUAGAGGUACUUCUGGGGUAGGGGUAAAAUCCUGUAAUCCUAGAAGGACCACCGGUGGCGAAGGCGUCUAGCUAGAACGGAUCCGACGGUGAGGGACGAAGCCCUGGGUCGCAAACGGGAUUAGAUACCCCGGUAGUCCAGGGUGUAAACGCUGCCGACUUGGUGUUGGAGGCCCUUCGGGGGCAUUCAGUGCCGGAAAGAAGUUGUUAAGUCAGCCACUUGGGGAGUACAUCCGCAAGGAUGAAACUUAAAGG
rnacentral:rRNA from 1 species